rnacentral:rRNA from 1 species
UCUGAUACUGGCAAGCUUGAGUCUCGUAGAGGCAGGCGGAAUUCCUGGUGUAGCGGUGAAAUGCGUAGAUAUCAGGAGGAACACCGGUGGCGAAGGCGGCCUGCUGGACUGCGACUGACGUUGAGGCCCGAAAGCGUGGGGAGCAAACAGG